UUAGGACAUCUCAUUCGUCGUUGGGAGCUGCCGCGUGACGUAAGUGUCAAUAAGAUAUUGAGGCAAAUAUAUAUCACAAUGGGGAGUAUCAAUUUAAACGAACACGAAAUCCUGGCCGCUCUUAUGCAAAGUGAUGACGAGCUUCCGUGUGAGGACACCGACAGUGAAGUAGCGGACCACGUUUAAAGUUUUCUUUUUUUUAAAGUAAAAAUAAAGGAGUUUAAAAAAUUA